rnacentral:rRNA from 1 species
CACGUAGGGGGCGAGCGUUGUCCGGAUUUAUUGGGCGUAAAGAGCUCGUAGGUGGCUCGGUAAGUCGGGUGUGAAAUUUCGAGGCUCAACCUCGAAACGCCACCUGAUACUGCUGUGGCUAGAGUCCGGUAGGGGAGCGUGGAAUUCCUGGUGUAGCGGUGAAAUGCGCAGAUAUCAGGAGGAACACCGGUGGCGAAGGCGGGUCUCUGGGCCGAUACUGACGCUGAGGAGCGAAAGCGUGGGGAGCGAACAGG